UAGAUACUCCCUCCGUUCCGAAUUACUUGUCUUGGGUUUGUCUAGAUACGGAUGUAUCUAGAUACAUCUGUAUCUAGACAAAUCCAAGACAAGUAAUUCGGAACGGAGGGAGUACAAG
rfam:Triticum urartu cultivar G1812 contig1018392, whole genome shotgun sequence.